GAUGAACGCUAGCGGCAGGCCUAACACAUGCAAGUCGAGGGGUAGAGGAAGCUUGCUUCCUUGAGACCGGCGCACGGGUGCGUAACGCGUAUGCAAUCUACCCUUUACAGAGGGAUAGCCCAGAGAAAUUUGGAUUAAUACCUCAUAGUAUCUUUGCCUGGCAUCGGGUGAUUAUUAAAGUUCCAACGGUAAAAGAUGAGCAUGCGUCCUAUUAGCUAGAUGGUAAGGUAACGGCUUACCAUGGCAACGAUAGGUAGGGGUCCUGAGAGGGAGGUCCCCCACCCUGGUACUGAGACACGGACCAGACUCCUACGAGAGGCAGCAGUGAGGAAUAUUGGACAAUGAGCGCAAGCCUGAUCCAUCCAUGCCGCGUGCAUGAAGACGUUCCUAUGGAUUGUAAACUGCUUUUGUACGAGAAGAAACACUCCUACGUGUAGGAGCUUGACGGUACCGUAAGAAUAAGGAUCGGCUAACUCCGUGCCAGCCGCCGCGGUAAAAC
rnacentral:rRNA from 1 species